rnacentral:lncRNA from 1 species
ACUCUCCACUCCGAGGCUCAGGGAGCAAGUGCCUGGCAUGGGGGGUAAAAGUUGGCUUUUUUUUUCCUCCUUGGUCUUUUGCGCCCUUCUCACUCUCCCCAGAAGGGAAGACCCAUUUAAACUAUUUUAGACGCAAUCAACCAAGAAUCACCAUGUGGAAUUGAGCGGCAGUUUUAAAUGUGUUGAGCAGAGGAGAGGAAUGAUGAGAAAAACAUUUUUUUUUUUUUUUGGAGACGCCGAAAGGAGCCUGUUUGUGUGCUGCGGCCGUGCUGUGACUCUGGAUCUUGUCUUUCAGCCGGCGCCUCUGUUCCUGCCCAGCUGGAUUUGGGGGGCAGCAUUGCCUGGCGCAGGGAGAUCAAAUGAGACUGCAAAGAAGCAUAAAAUGAAUAGACAAUCCAACCAACCAAAGACCGGGGGCAGCAGCAGGCCAGCAAGACGGCAUCUUCUCCUUCCCAGCCUAGAAGCCCUGUGAAAUCGAGGAUCUUCCCCCUAAAACACAUACACACAAGAAAUGUGCAAUCAAGCUGCCACCGCUUGGUAAAAAGCUCAUGGUGCCUAACCAAAAAGGAUCAGGAACAGAUCCUUGAAUCAGCUGUCACUUCUAUAGAAUGGGAUGUUUUUUUUUUCCUUCCUCCUUAACCUGCGCUGGAAAUUGCCGUUGGCUUUAUACAUCUCUAUAGAGAGAGGCUAAAGAGUCUUGCGUGAGAAAGAAGCAAUUUACAAUGCAAAUAGAGGCCUGUGAAGGGACGGAUGCUGCUGCUCACUCGUAACAGCUUGCUGCACCUUAAUAGCUGGUUUUAUUUUCUGCUAUUAAUAGAUGAAUUGUGGGCUAACGCUGCCGGAGAUUACUUGCUGAAAGGAAAAAAAAAAGUUCGGAAUAAACUCUGAAGGCAACAGAUCUCGUUUGGAUGUUUUAGCUGUGCACACACACAAACAAACCAGGUCAUAUUUACAUAAAAGGAGGAAUCUUAAGCGCGGCAAGUAACCUGGACGACCGCUCUUCGGUACUGCCAGAAAGGAUCGGGACCUGGAGUCUGGCAAGAGGAAGACAGAGGCCUGUGUGGGAAGUGAGUUGUUAUCUUUGGUUAUCUAGCUGUAUGAGUGUAUUGGUCUUCAUAAAGCUAGAUAACCGAAAGUAAAAACUCCUUCAAGAUCGCCGGGGAGCGUGUGAGAAUGAAAGACUACAACCGAGAGACAGUAAAAACCAGAAAGGUCAGGAAUACUUAUUGAAUCUAACUUUGUUUUUGUUUUGUUUUUUUCCUUAUGAUUAAAGGUGGGAUGAGAGGAAAUUAAAUGACACACAUAUGCUAAAAUAUCAAGUUGCCAGAUAUAUCCUGAGAGGAGUUGUUGCAGCUGCAAAGGAGAAGUGUAUAGUGAUGAUGAGUAAAGAUGCAUGUGCAGUUUGUUCUAUUUUAAGGCAAAAGUUUAUAUAUCAGGGAUUUUUUUUCUUAGAAAGGUGUUGCAGAGAUGUCUGGUACCUAGUUUAAAAAUGAUUCCAUAAUAUGUAGACUUGGGCAGUUCCUUUGUGAGGCCCCUCCCUCUCAAAAUUUGAAGACUGUGCUUGGAAAUUAUUUUACAUGUAUUUGGGCUGUAUGUCAAUUUGUACGAAAUUAGACUUUCAGAAAAGUUUAUACUGGAAGGUUAAUAAUUUAUAUCUACUGAGGACUUAGAGCUAGCAGGCAAAAUGAAAAAAAAAAAAAAAGCAAGGGCUGAUUUUUAUUCUUCUAUUCAAAAUACAAGGACAGAUGCUUCUCUGUUCCAAGAAGGUUUCCUUGAGGAAGCUACUGAAGCAGAAAGACAUGAUGGAGACGAGAUCGCCUCCCCUCUUGUCAAAGUGUUAAAAAAAUGUUCUGUCUUACUCUGCGCCUAGCAUUGGAAAUGAAAGUGACAUUUACGCCACAACCCACGUGUGUGCCUCCUCUCUUUUUGUUUAAGGAUGAUCAGGUCUAUCCAGGAAACAGCUCUGGCAUCUCAAACUGAAAUAAUUAGGACGUAUAUAGACCUGACAAAAAUGGAAAGGGGGUGGGGAAUCUGAGGGUCUGUCUUGCCUAAUUGAUUCCGCUAAACGGAAUGCAGGAGAUGUGAACGGCAGGACGCUCCGAUUCCCACGCUCGGGGGCAAGUGAUAAAGCAGGGCCGGGCAGCCUAUGACAGACAGCCCUGUUGGGGGGUGGGGGUAUGAAAAAAACAUCAAGUGCACACACCAUACUCAUCUCCAUCGCUUAAGAAAGUAAAGGCAUUUCCCACCCACAGCCAUCUGCAGCUUCCCAAAUGGCAGCACCAACUGGUCUGUAGCUGCUACAUACUGUCUGCUUCUGUUAAUUUUUUAACCACUGUUUAAUCUGGCCAUAAUUAAGUUUGGCUUUCUUCGUUGUUUGAGAUUUUCAGAACUCAAGGCAAGCUAGUAGAAAGCAAUUCCAAGAAAGUCCCAUGACUGCCUGCCCCUAAUGUCAAAAUCUCCGUCCAUGAGAUUAUGGCCUUGUGACCACAUUUUUGCUUUUGUUUUGGGUGGGCUGUAUUUUAAAAUACAUAUCUCUAUAUAACAGUCGUUAUUAUAAUUUCAUGAGGCUUUUUACCUCUUAACAUGAUACAUCUAGGAACUUGGUCUAAUUGUGCUAGUAGAUAUAUACUAGAAGUAAAACUAUGAAGUCAUUAACCUAUAGAAAGUUGAUUAUGAUAACAAUAUAAAACAAUAUGAUAAAAAGUUUGUUUUGGAAUAGUCUCAGCUAAAUGGGUCUAAAUAGCCAUUUUAAUGUAAUCUAAAAAUAACACUAUGCCUAGCAGAAACUUUGGCGCUUUGGAGGUCCCCAUUGUCACCUUUUCAUAAAAGUCCUUAAGUUUUCCAUAUGUCACCAAGCAAACAUUUGUAUAGGCAUUUACACAGAAAUAUAACCAUUGCAAUUAGAAAAUAUCCAAAAUAGCCUGUUAUCUUCCACGUGGCCUAGAUUAUUGACAAUCCCAAAUAUACAAUUUUUCUUUAAAAGUAGUACAAUUUCCUUUGUAGCUUCAAUUCCUUAUAUGACUUCAGACUGGAGAAGCCUGUUAAACCACUGUUAGUUUCAGUUAGAAAGUCUGAGAGACUUUAUACAUAAAUUCUCAAUUUGGCUGCUGUACACGUGCCAGAGUUUUACUACUGUAGUGACCGUUGAGAAGACCCUUGUUUAUUUACAUUUGAAGCACUGUUUGUGCAAACAACCUUUCAUUGUUAAGUGCCUGUAUUCCUUUCAUUUACUUCAUGUCCAGGGGUGCUAUUUACCUAGAACCAUUGUCUACUACAAUUAACAUUUACAUUACAAAGUGUGUGGUUUUCUUUUUCAAGGAGGUUCAAUUAAGGCAAUAAGAUGUUUGCUGGAGAAACCUAUUGUUUACUGAAAGCACUCAAUGGAGUCAAAUUACUGAAGCUUUUGCCUACAUCUUGGUCUUUUAUGUAAAUAUGUUAAAUAUAACAUCUAAGGAAAAUAAACAAUAUUAUAAUUAUGUGUUUGCCAUUGUCAUAUCAAACUUGCUUUGUAUCAUACUAAUGUUACAUAACUUAUCGAUCAAUAAAAAUACAUUUCAAUGUUA